CAUCGAAUAACGCUUAAUCCAAUUGGAGCGGGGGACCCAUACUUGUGAAUUGAUUGUUCACUUGGGGUGAAUCCUUUAUAAGGUAGGGCUAUUCUCUCAUGUCCGAAUCCGACAGCUAACCUCGUAAGCGUAUAGAGAGGAAUG
rnacentral:sRNA from 2 species